rnacentral:misc_RNA from 1 species
GACAGAGUGCAUGCAAGCAUUCAGCUGCAGUUGAAAGAAAGAACACCAUUUUAAGUGAAAAAUUUUUGCAAUAAAAUGAGCCAUCUAAUUUGUAAUAUUUUUGAGCAUACGCAUAAUGCUGCUAGUUCUUUGCAAGCUUUGCUUAUGGCAUGACUUGUUCAACGUAAAGUUGAGAUUCCAAAGUUUAAAAGAAAAUACUGCAUGGUUUAUGUAACAUAAGCUCUUUGACAUGAAAAGCUAAAAAUAUAUGUACAAUUUUGAGAAAAAAAAUAUUUUCUCAUGAAUUAAAGACUGUAACUUUAUGGAAUGGUUUCAGAAAAGAACUUCUAUUCCACUUAUCAGAAACACUUUCCAAGGCUAAGGUGAAGUAUUAUGUACUAUCAGAACUUGAAACAACAUACUGUGAAUAUCAACUAUGUUUUAAUUGAAGAAUAAUUCUGCACUGUGGUAGAUAAUGUACAAUGCAACUAUCUAAUUACUAAACAGGACAUGGUCCUCACAACCUUAAGUUGCUAUCUUAUAGUUGGGACCCACUAUGAUCCUUUAUGCACCAUCCAAUACAGCAAGUAACAAGCAGUGAGAUGAUAGGCUGAUACUUACAAAAUCGAGAGUAUAAUAUUUGGA